GAGAGAGAGGAGGGAGAGAGGAGAAAGAAAAGGAAAAGGAAAGAAAAAGAAAAGAGGCAGUAUCCCAGGAGCAACAGCGUUCACAUAGGAUGCUCCUUAGAAGUGACUCACUCGCAGGGUUCAGGGUAGACCCUGCAUGACUGCCCAACAAGGCAAGAAUUCCUGUUCUUUUCAAUUGCACCAGCAGCACACAGUUCAUCAAACCUCCUUUGCGUCACUUUAAACGCCCUGCUUAUGCGUCUAGCUCCUAUGCACCUUCAGUUCCAAAGAAAACUGAUGACCAUCCUGCAAGGUACAAGAUGCUGGAUCAGAGGAUCAAAAUGAAAAAGAUCCAGAACAUCUCUCAUCACUGGAACAAAAAAUAGGGCAAGUACAAGAAAGAGGGAGUUGAGAUGGGUCUGCCUGCCUCUAGCACCUAUCAGAUGCAACUGGGCAUGUCUGAGAAGUCAUGCAGCAGGGGCUACUGUGACUGACUCUAAGAGGCAAAAUGAACACUGUUUGAGAUUCCCCUUGGUCAUUCUCUUAUGGAAACACCAGUCACUGGAUUGGGGUCAAUCAGAUUCCAUCAAGGAACUAGUAAAUGGUAGAUUUAUUUGAUUUUAUUGUGUAGGUCUUUAAAAGUCUUAAGUCACAACCAAAUUAAAAUAAUGUAUCUCAUUCUGAAAAUAAAAUUCUUUCCACUGCCAUGUUUUUUAAUCCCUAAGAGGUGACUUGUCCCUAUACAAACAAUGGCUCAGUAACUAGCAGGGGUAAGAAAUGUACUUCUAAAAACAACUCAUUAAAAUGAUUUUAUUUUGUGAAAUUAAAAUAUAAUCACAUUAUUUUUCUUUUCUUUUCCCUCAUUCCAUACCCUUAUUUGCACAUACCCUUCUCUUCCUCGAAAUCAUGACCUCUUGUUUUAAUUGUUGAUAUUAUAUAUAUGCAUAUAUAUCCUAAAUUACAUAUGUAAUUAUAUAUUUAUAUUUCUAAAUAUAUAAAUACAAUCUGCUCAGUCCCUAUGUUACUUGUAUCUAUAUGUUUUCAGAAUGGAUUAUUUGGUACUGGGUGAUCAAUUGGUGUACUUUUUCCUGGAAAAAACUAAUUUUCUCCUAAUAUCAGCAUUUCUAUUUGCUUAGAGUUCUUUGCCUAUGGUUACAGCCCCGUGAAAGUUCCAUGUUCCAUGUUAACAUGUCUGUUAGUGUUGUCUAAAUUUAAAUGUACUGAUUUAAAAUUUCAAAUACUCAAAAUUCAAGCAGAUGUGUGAAAUUCAAAGCAAACACAUUCAAAACAAAUGCAGCACUUCUGAGCAUAGCAAUCAUAGAGGAAAGAUGGUUGAGGGGUUGUUUUUUCAUGGAUUUUUCAGAAUUCAGGUUUACAAAGUAGACAGAAGUGUGUGUGUGUGUGUGUGUGUGUGUGUGUGUGUGUGUGUGUGUGUGUGUGUGUGAAAGAGAGAGAGAGAUUUCUGAUCACAGCUCAUUCCCAGCAGUUUCAAUGUACUUUAGAGAAUUUGUGAGAGUUUGGCUUGAUUCAUUUUAAUCCUUCCCUUCUAUCAGAGUAACCUGUGGUCGAUGAAGUGCUCGUGGCUUAAACUCUCCAGGCUUCAGAUAUGCCACACGGCGAUAUGGUGUUGUGGAACCUGGUUUUAAUUCUUCAUUUCCAAAUUGUCUAGAGAUUCCUUUAAAUUAAAGUUGAUUUUAUCUAGCCCACAACCUGCCUACCAGAUAAUGUCGGGGACUCCCACUUGCUCUCCUCCCUGUUUGUGGGACAGGUGUCCUUCUAAGCCACCUCUUGUUUGGGUGCCUUCUCAAAAGCCAUUGUUAGCUUUUCUGUAAGUUUACCCAUUUUUAUUUUGAGACUAAAGUCAUAGAAAUGUACAGGAAGUCUCACAGCUGGAGGUAGCUUUGGAUCCCUUCAGAGUGACUGGGGGCAUCUGAAAACUCAGGUGUGAUGCCCAGCAAGGCUGAUGCAUGGCAAGGCUACGAUUCUCUUCUGCCUGAGACCAGCUGCAGGUUCUGGGACUCGUGGUGUGAUGCCAUAAGCUUCAGUUUGUUUUCCUCGAUCUUCUUUUUGAUGGACAUGUAUCAUAUGUAGGUUUGGGCUGCUAUUGUGAUACCUGGUGACUAAUAAUAGGUACAGAGAAGCAUUAGUUCGGAGCACUCCAUAUUCAGAACAGACUGUCUAGGAAAGCAAAGAGCCUUCUGUGGUAGCCAGACUUAAUUGCAGAGGGUGUAGUUCAUUUCCAUUGACCAUAGUUACCCAAGAAACCAGCCCCAGACUUUGCUGCUCGUGGGCUUAUACCUAAUGUAGUUUAUUCUGAUAAUUGUUAUACAAGUGAGAAAUCACUGUGACUUUUGCUAAACAAGACAAUUGCAAUUCUUAGUUCCCUGCCCAGCAUUUGGGCAAAAAAAGCUAUCUGCAGGCUGAUAAUGUACCUUCAUCUGGAUUGGGUUAAUUCACAGGUAAUGUCCUGCUUGUUACACAGGAGCUUUCAUGCUGAAUGCAGAGUCAUUUGUCAACACAUUGACAAGGUUUAGGGGACACUCCUUACCGGUCUCUCAAAACUUGCAGCCUUGGGUUUCAGGCUUCAGUGGGCCUGUUCUUUCUUUCAUAGUUGUUUUGGAGAUUAAGAAUGCUUGUUCCUUCUGCGUUCUUUUCUCUUAAGAUGUGUUUUGUUUUUUUCAAGCUUUGCUAAAACUUUAGUUCAACAAACGUACACACAUGGAAAGUCUGCACUGUUUGUAAAUGCCUACCAUGGUUGCACGCAUGCAGAGUUUGCAUUGUUUGUAAAUGCCUACUAUGUUUUUGUAUACAGAAAUGAGGAUUGUGUGCUUACAGCAAAUAAAAGAUGCUUUGAAUGGA